rnacentral:rRNA from 1 species
CCUACGGGAGGCAGCAGUGAGGAAUAUUGGUCAAUGGCCGUAAGGCUGAACCAGCCAAGUCGCGUGAAGGAAGAAGGAUCUAUGGUUUGUAAACUUCUUUUAUAGGGGAAUAAAGGUAUCCACGUGUGGAUAUUUGCAUGUACCCUAUGAAUAAGCAUCGGCUAACUCCGUGCCAGCAGCCGCGGUAAUACGGAGGAUGCGAGCGUUAUCCGGAUUUAUUGGGUUUAAAGGGUGCGUAGGUUGUUUUUUAAGUCAGCGGUGAAAGUUUGUGGCUCAACCAUAAAAUUGCCGUUGAAACUGGAAGACGUGAGUGUGUUUGAGGUAGGCGGAAUGCGUGGUGUAGCGGUGAAAUGCAUAGAUAGCACGCAGAACUCCGAUUGCGAAGGCAGCUUACUAAGCCAUAACUGACACUGAAGCACGAAAGCGUGGGGAUCAAACAGGAUUAGAUACCCCAGUAGUC